GCUCUUCUCGUCAGCGUAGCCGUGACCUUUCCCUGUGUGUUGGAAAACAUGACGUGCAUAAAUAAAUAAUGAGGGCGAGGAGGCGGAGGAGGGAGUGAAGACAUGCUGUUUCCCAGCAGUCACAGGAUGCAGUUUCGCCAGCCCUGCUGAAGGUGUGUUUACUGCGGCUCGCCCGGUGAUGACAGCUGUAGUCUGCAGGUUAGGAGCCGCUCACCAGGGUGUGGUCCAGCCAGCUGGGGCCCCUCCUGAAGAGCACACGCACUCUACAGCAGACAAUGCACCUGUAGCUCAUGGAGGUUAUGCAAUCGGCCCUGGUCCCGGAGUGGUGUUGACGGUCGGCCGUAUCCCGUACACAGCCCUCGGUCAACGGAGGACUCCCCUGUGUGUCCACAGUUUCAGGGUCACUGGGAUCAGGGCGGACGUCUGCAAACAGAACCCUCUGCUGCCCGCUCCAUUCCACUCUCAGGAGCGCGCAGUUUGUUUGGACACAUGUCUGAUGGAAGUGUAAAUGAGCUGUCUGACACACGGACAGGAAGAGCGUAGAAGAAACUGGAUUGCACGCAUGAGAGGCAAAGCAGUACUGCUCUGGCAGAACAAAACAAACCAAAUAAUCCCACUCAAUCAAUAAAAUACAGAGUAUCCUUAAGACAAAGUUCACUAUAAACUUUUUAUUUUUUUGUGGGAACGCCAACUCGCCGAUCAAACCGACCGAGAGUCUGUUUGAAGUAGCGUGUCACUCGCUGAUUGGGUUGUUGGUGUGACGAUUGAUUUCAAAGUUAUGCAGU